UAUGAACAGAGCUAAUGGUUAAGCUCGUUGAGUUCUGUGGCUACUCUGUAGAUUUGAGGUGUCAAUUGCCGGAUGAAGGUGUUCAGAACGCCGACGCUGAUGGUGAUUGCAAGAAGAAAGAAGAUGAAGACGAUUUCUCUUUCGCAUGCUCCAACCCCGACGGAUCGUCGAUUUCCACCGACGAUAUAUUCCAAAAUGGCCAGAUCCGUCUUGUGUUCUCGAUUUUCAACCCGGAUAUCUUGUUUGCAGAUGCGACGACGAUUUUUCCAGAGCCAGAGGGGUUGCCGCUUCCUCUUCCUCUCUGCGGCCGCCAUUGAAGAAGCUCAUCAGUGACGCCUCUGAUAUUUGGUGAACAUCCUUGGUACCAUUGCAAGGUCUGGCACCAAGGAAUUUAUGGAAGCCUUGGCUGCUGGUGCUUCUCUUGUUGCAGAUAAGGUCAUUGUUACCACCAAGCACAAUGAUGAUGAGCAGUAUGUGUGGGAGCCACUCCGAUUCAAUAUUUAUGAUGUUUUUCCUUUUGCCUUUGCGAUUGUAUCUGGUGAAACUGUAGACAAUUGGAGGUGGUUUCUGCAAAGGAUAUCGGAUGUCUUGCUAGGCU